rnacentral:lncRNA from 1 species
UCCCUCCUUUCUCUCUCUUUUCUCUCUCCUCUUCUAGCUUUCUCUCUCCAAUCUCUCUCUAGAUUCUCUCUCUAUUUUCUCUCUCUUUAUGAAUUUUAUCUCUCUAGGAUCUUUCUACUCUCUCUCUAAUUGCAUCAUGGAUCUUAGGAUAAACUUGAGAUGAAAAUAUGAUCAUCUGAGAUUGCUUCAAAAUUCGUGUAGUAGAUUGGAUUUCGAUCCGAUCUUUAUUUGAGAUUUAUAAUAUCGAUCAUGGUUAAUUCAUAUUGAGUCAUCCUGAUAUAACCUCUGAUGAUCUCAAUC